GCGUACAAAACCUACCUUUUACUGGGGGAAAGUCGCUGGAAACGGCGAAUAAUCCCGCAUAAGACCACACUACCACAUGGUAGAGGGGUUAAAGGCUUCGGUUGGUAAAAGAUGGUUGUGCGUUCCAUUAGCUAGAUGGUAAGGUAACGGCUUACCAUGGCGACGAUGGGUAGGGGGCGUGAGAGCGUGAUCCCCCACACGGGUACUGAGACACGGACCCGACUCCUACGGGAGGCAGCAGUAAGGAAUAUUGGUCAAUGGAGGGAACUCUGAACCAGCCAUGCCGCGUGUGUGAUGAAU
rnacentral:rRNA from 1 species